GUUUUUAUAGUUGAACACAACAGAAGUUUUUCAGACUUCAGGUCUAGGUUAGAGUCCUUGUAAGAACC
rnacentral:tRNA from 1 species